rnacentral:lncRNA from 1 species
AAAUGAUAAGUUUUAAAUAUCAAGAAAGGAUAUACAUGUAAGAAAAAAUAUAUAUACACACAAACAUAAUUGAUCAUUAUCUUAUCAAAGUAUUUUGUUUGGUUUUGUAUAGUACAUCCACUCACUGCUUGCGUCAUGCAACACUUGGAUAUUAUCCAUUGAUAAUUAGAAAUCAUUUGGAAAGAGAAACCGUAUUUGUUAGUUGGCGUCGAAGGGCAUAUUUGACAAUUCACUACCAUUAAACCAUUGGCUCUUCCAAGUCUCUGGCCUCCUGUUUUUACCGCUAAAUUUGGGGCUUCUCUAACUCUCUCCAUCUCUAUUUAAAACCAGUCUUCUCUUUCCCUAACUCAUAUGAAUCCAUCUAACAAAUCUCUAAUACCAUUCAAACUAGAAAACCCCUUUCCAUUUUAGCAUCUUAAGAAGUCGAAAAGAUGAGCUCCACAAGCAGAGCAUGGAUGGUGGCAGCAACUGUCGGAUUGGUGGAGGCACUCAAGGAUCAAGGCUUUGCACGAUGGAACACCACCAUCAGGGCAGUCCACCACCACGCCAAGUCCAAUCUCCGAUCAAUUUCUCAGACCAAGAAGUUGUCUUCGCCGGCGGCCAUGGCUUCAGGCGGAGGCGUAGAAGCGAGGGCGAAGCAAUCAGAGGAGUCGUUGAGAAAAGUCAUGUAUUUGAGCUGUUGGGGUCCCAAUUGAUGAAAACCCUUUGCAGAUGUUAUUAAUUUUAGGCACCUAGAUACCAGAUUAAAUGUACAUGUAAUUAUGCAUUGUGUAUAACAUUUAUAACGAACUGAAAAUCGUUAUUAUGAAAAUACAACCUAAUUUUGUGUCAUGAUUUGAUGUUAUUCCGAAAUAUACAUUAUUUGUUAUCGAAAACAUUUACACUGAGGCCUAAAACUGCUAAAUUUGGAAAACCAAAUAUUAAAUUAUACAUGUUCUUUCAUUGGGUUGACCAUAUAAAAACAAUAGGUUCCUUUUAUAGAACCCUACUUUCACUUAUUUUAUUUAUAACAUUGUAUUGUAUUAUGACAAAUCUAUCAAAUUAAGUUUUUUCUUUGUAUGUGUUACAGUAAAUAUGUUGUAAGUUCCCUAAAAUAUCCUCUAGUGAAAAUCUUUUAAAACCAUUUUUAUAAAGUAACGUACAUUGCAAUCUCUUGCAUUUAGCCUAUAUUUUACAAAAUUUAGGUAAUGCCCGGCCGAACAAAGAACAUGUAAAUGGUUAUGUUUGUUGGUCGGGUGAUUGAUGGGAAAUUAAUAGACAAAUUCUAUUUUCUUUCAUAACAUCAAACAUAGAUAAUUUUGUUACUAUGAUUUGUAAAAAGUUAAGUACAUAGCCAUUAUUGGAUAAAAAUAUAAGUAUUUUGCUAUUAUUUGUUGAAAAGAAAAAGUACGUUGCUAUUAUUUGUUAAAUAGAUAGCUAUGUUGCUACUAUUUGUAAAAAUAGAUAAGUUCAUUUUUAUUAUUGGAUUAAAAGGUAAGUAUGUUGCUAUUAUUGGUCGAAAAGAAAAGCAUGUUGUUAUUAUUUGUUAAAAAGAUAAGUAUGUUGCUAUUAUUUGUAAAAAAAGAUAAGUUCAUUGUUAUUAUUGGAUUAAAAGGUAAGUGUAUUGCUAUUAUUUUUUAAAAAGAUAAGUAUGAUACUAUUAUUUGUUAAAAAUAAGUGGGUUGAUAUUAUUAGUUCAAAAAAGUUAAUUAUAUUGGUAUUAUUGGUUAAAAAGAUAAAUACGAUGGUUAUUAGUUAAAAAGAUAAGUACAAUGCAUUAAUAAGAAAAAUACAGACGCACAUAAAAAGUUAUUGAAAGUACAACAUGAAUAAAUAAAAGUACGAUCUAUGAUUAGGCAUGAAUUACUUUAAAAAUACAAUGUUAUAAUUGGGCCAUUGUUUUCAUUGUAUAUACAAAGUACAAUGCAUUAAUAAGAAAAAUACAAACACACACACACAUAAAGAGAACUACAUUGCUAUUAUUGACAUAAAGAAGAUCGUGAAACUAUUUCACUCAUCAUGUUGACAUAAAUCCCUGAUUACAUUAUUAAAUAUUGGGAAGCCUACACAUAGGAUUAUAUGAAACGAUUUUGAUGAAAAUGUUGUCAAUAUGUUUAUAUAAGUAUAUGAACGUGCUACCCCUGUACAACAACUAUGUCCCUAUAUUUCAACACCCAUACUCCACACCCUGUUUGUUUUUCUCCUUGGAAAUAUGCAAUAAUCCUAAAACAACUACCCAUGCUACCACAUUCGUCCCCUACUAGGAGUGCAAACGAACCAAGCUACUCGUGAGCUACUCGGGAUCGAAUCGUUAAAAGUUCGACUCAAAACCGAUUUUAAAUGAGCCUAAGCCAAGCUCAAGCUUAAUAUUAAGCUUGUUUAUUAAGCGAGCCCGAGCUCGAGCCUAUGUCACUAAGCUUGAUUAGGCUCGUGAGCUUAAACGAGCCUAUAUAUAAUAUAAUUUAUUAUUAUUUUUAUAUAUUAAAAUAAAAACAUAUUUGAAGAAUUAGGGAUUUAGGGUAUUAGUAAAUGAGCUUCUUAACGAGCUCGAAUAAAGCUUAAGCUUAGUUAGGCAUAUUAGACAAAAAAAUGAGUCGAGCUCAAGCCUGAGUCAAGCUUGCAUAAUUCUUUACGAUUUCGAGUUGAGAUCGAUACAAUAAAGCUUGAAUCGAGCCGAGCCUGGAUAGGCUCGGGCUCGACUCAGCUUAUUUGUACCUCUAUCUCCCACAUCGCUAUCUUUCCCCACAUUUCGACUUCCAUACUCUAAAUAUCAUUUAUUUCUAUAGAAAAAGGAAAAAAUUGACUAUACAAAUUAAAUAUGUUGACAUUUCUCUCAAAUAUAUAAAAAUGGUAUAAUUUCUAUAAAAAAAACCAUAAGUACAGUGUUACUGUAAAAAAAAGCAGGUUUGUUAUUUUUGUAAAUAAAUAUAAGUAGGUUGAUAUUAUUGUCAAAAAAUUAAGUAUGUUGUUAUUUUUGUCAAAAAAAAAUAUUAGUUGGUUAUUAACUAUGUUAAUAGAUACAGGUAGUUACAAUUGUAGCUAAUAAAACCACAUAAGCAACUAAUGCUUCUUUGCUACCUCUACAUUUCCAUUUAUCUCUCCCACAUGAAAUGAUUUCUUUAAUAAUGAUAAGUGAAUGUAAAUCGCUACUAAAACUUGUUCUGGUUGAUCACUGUUCCCACAUUUUAUCAUUGAACUAGUAUGUGAUAAAAAUUCAGAAUCUUUAGCAUAAAAACACUUACAUCUUUAGAUUUUGAUCUUAAAAUGAAAGUUGUUGCAUUUUAAGAUAUAAUUUAAAUGAAAGAGCUCUAUGAAUGUGUAGAUAUAUAGAUAUUUCACCAUUAUCAGGUUGUACUUGCAUUGAAACAGAGAUUGCAAAUAAGUAAAAAAAGCAACGAAGAAGGGAGAGAUGUAGAAGGCAAUAUUGUUCUCAUACUCGAAUUCAAGAAAAUUUAACUACAUUCACUUGGCAUUGAGAAAUCCAUCACCCAAUUACAAUUAGUUGAUCUAAUACAACAAAAGGAAUUAAAGAUAUGUUUUAUGUUUGGUAUUAAGGAGGUUAAUUUGGGAAAAAGCAAACCUCUCUUCCUCGUAGUCUUCGUGCUCUCUUACAUCAGUGUUCCAUGCAACAUGUCAAAUUUGACUACAUUCACUUGGUACAGAGUUUGAUUUUUAUAGUCUAUUUGAUAUGAAGUACGUGUUUUAUCUGAAAAAACAUGCCUUAGUUAGAUUUUCGUAGAUAUUUUACAUGAGAAGAUUACAAAAUAGUCAAUAUUCUUAAUUGCUUUGCAGAAAAUAGUCAAAAAGCCCAACAUUACAAAAAUAUCUAUAAAAAUGCAGAUGGAUUAAACCCAUCUGCAAUUACGCCCAUUGAUUUACGAAUGUACAAGUCGGUAAAACACGGACGCACAUUAUGACUUGUACGUCCGCAUAUGUUUUUUUAGCUUUCUUUCCAGUAUAAAUAUCCUCACACCUCACUAAAAUCUCAGAUGAACUAAGUUCAUUUGCGAUUUCCUCUUAAGUUCAUCUGCGAUUUUCCACAAUAUUAUUUAUUUAUUAUUUUUUAUUUUAACUAUGAAAUUGAUAGAGUUUGACAAUGAAACAACCAUAUUGUAUAUAAAGACUUACAACGCAAACCAAAUAUUCAUUCAUUUUAUUAAAGACGUUUCAAACAAAUUUUCCAAAGAAGUAACAAUAAGUGAUAAUUUUUUUGCAAGACUAUAUAUAGUAUGGUUAUUCCGUAGCCAAACCUUAUAAAUUUCGUAGUUAAAAUCAAUUUUUUUUAAUAAAAUUGCGCAAAAUCGCAGAUGAACUUCAAAGGAAAUCACAGAUAAACUAAAUUCAUAUGCGAUUUUAGUGAGGUGUGAGGGUAUUUAUACCGGAAAAGAAAAACUAUUUGCGAAUGUACAACUCAUAAUGCACAUCCUUGUUUUACCGACUUGUACAUUUGCACAUCAAUGGGUGAAAUCAUAGAUGGGUUUAACCCAUCUAAGAUUUUGAUGAUUAUUUUUCGUAAUGUUGAUGUUGUUUUGGAUUUUUUUUUUCUGUAAAGUAAUUAAGGAAAUUGGCUAUUUUUAUAAUUUUCUCAUGAUAUAUUGUUGAGGUUGACAUUGUGAAAAACUUCAUUUUACAUAUAACAAGUUUACAAAAAUCUAGAAAAAAAAUCUUAUAAAAUUUUCGUAGUUCUCAUAGCUAAAAUUGUAAUAUCUUUAUCGUAUGCUUUGUAUUUUAAAAAUUGGUUAUUUCCAUAAAAGACUCUAUAUGUUGAUUUUUUUUCUUUUUAGACCUAAAACCUUUUUCUUUUCUGAAAACGAUCCAAUUUUUACAUGUUACUUGUUAUUUUAGAUCCUAACAGGUCACCAAAAAGGAAAUUAAAUAUUUUUAUUUAAUAAAAGACCCUAUAUUUUGUACUUUUUUCCAGUUUAGAACUUAAAUAUUUUUAUUUCAAGACUAGUUGUAUAAAAACAUGAUUAUAUCCUUUUAGUUUAAACAUAAACAUCGAUUUAAACAAUUUAAACAAUAUAACUAUUAUGCCUACAUUUAUUUAUGAUUAAACAAUUCUUUGUCCACAUAUAUUUAAAAAAAAAGUAGUUGUCAAAGCUAUUUCUUCACUACACCAAGUUCAUGUAGCUUAAUUUCAUCAAGGCAUAAAAAACACAAUUAUAUUCUUUUAGUUUAAAUAAUAGACAAUGAUUUAUGUUCAAAUGAUUUCAUUCACAUAAUAUAGUUUUAUGUAUUUAUAUGUGAUGUUAACAUUUUCUAAGAAUGUCUUAAACUUAAAUCUGAUAUAUUUAAACAAAACUAUUACAAAUGUUUUGGAUUAAUAUUUUUAUGUAUGUAUUUGAUACAAUUAUAACAUAUUAUUCAAUAAUGGGCUAAUGCUAGAAGUAUGAUAGUGAGUGCGUUUGUUAACUCUUCUAAAAAAUUGAUUAAAAAGUUCGACCAAAAAAAUAAUAUAGAAAAUUAAAAGAGAGAAAUAUGUCCAAACUCAUGAAAUAAGUAUAAUAGACAAACUAAAAAAAUUUAUUUUGUAUACAUUUUGUUAAAUUACAUGUUUUUUUUUUUUUUUUUUUUUUUUUUUUUUUUUUUUUGUUUUACAAAUAAAAAAAGUUGUUAUUAUCUUAAAAGAUUCUUCCUAACCAUGUAUUAUUCAUGUUAUCAAAAAAUAUCAAAUUAACAUUAAACUUUUUAUUAGUGGUAAUAAUAACAUUUUUAUAAACAAUAUAUCAAGUUUAAUGAUAUAAUAUAUAUCCAAGAUAACGUUUAAUUAUAUCUUUUUCACAAAAAUAAAAUUUUGCAAUUCUUCUAAGUUAUAUUCGCUCAACAAUAAUAGAUUAGAUAACAUUUUUUAGUUUGUACAUUUAUAUUUUCUUUUUCGGUGUAGUUAAGAAGUACUUUAUAUAUUUGGUCUUGAAGAUUAUAACAAAUUUUAAAGGUGAGUUUAUUUUGAAAAAAAACAUUUUAGGUCUAAAAUGGAAAAAAAAAAGUAUAAAAUAUAAGGUCUUUUAUAAAAAAAAAAAAUCUAAUUUAACUGUUGAUGACGUGCUAGGGUCUGAAAUAACAAGUAACAUGCAAAAGUUGGGUCUUUUUUAAAAAAAAAAAAUUUAGGUCUAAAAAGAAAAGAUAUCAAAAUAUAAAGUCUUUUAUGAAAAUAAAAAAAUAGUUUGUGCCUUUUUCUUAAUUUAUUUAUCGCAAAGAUAAAUAUUUUUGUAAGAUAGUGAUUCUUCGCUGCCAUGUCACAAACCAAUUGGGUUGAAAACUAGUAGUUUUUUUUUCCAAGUGGUAGCCUCCUGUUUUUAUUUUUAUCCCUAAAACCAGGAGCUCUUUUACUCCUUGUACUCUUUCCUUCCAAACUCUAUUUAAACCCAUCUUUACAUUUUCAAAAUCAUCGCAAUCAAAAAAUCUUUCAUACCACAUCUUACAAGAAAAAACCCAUUUGAUUUCAGCAUCUACAAGUUUCCGAAAGCAUGAGUUCAGGAAGCAAAGUAUGGAUGGUGGCCGGAACUGUUGGAUUGGUGGAGGCGCUCAAAGAUCAAGGCUUUGCAAGGUGGAAUACCACCAUCAGGUCCAUCCACCACCACGCCAAGUCCAAUCUUCGAUCAAUCUCCCACACCAAGAACCUGCCACAGCCGGCGGCCAUGGCUUCAAGCAGAGCCAUGGAAGAGAAAGCAAAGCGAUCAGAGGAUUCACUCAGAAAAGUCAUGUACUUGAGCUGUUGGGGUCCCAACUGAUAAAAUAAAUCUUUUUCACCUGUUUUUAGGUUAGAUAGAUACGCAAAGUCUGUACAUGUAAUUAUGAAUGAUGUACAACCUUCAAUGGAGAAAGAAAGAAAAAAAAUUCGAUCAUGUAUUAUGAAUCCAGUAUUCAAGUUUUGUAAAUUUACAUGUAACAAUUUCAUUUUGUAUAUUUGUUAUAUGUUGUACAUUCAUGGGAUAAUCAUGAUUUUAAAACAAUCAUAUAUCUUUCCUUCGACAUUAAGAUUGUGUUACAUCGUGCAUUAUAACAAGUAGAUUUCUACUAACAAGUAUAAAAGAUUGUUCAAUUAGGACCCCAACAGCUAAAGUACAUUAAAUUCCUUAAUGAAUCCUCCUUUCUCCUCCAUGGCUAUGCUUGAAGCCAUGAUCGCCGGAUUAGACAGGUUCUUGGUGUUGGAGAAUGAUCGGAGAUGUGACUUGACCAAUCCAACAGAUCCGGCCACCAUCUAUGCUCUGGUUCUUGAACUCCUUCUAUCUUUAAUUGAGUACAUUAAAUCAAAUGUUUUUUUUUUAUUGUGUAUCUUCGUAAUGUUUGUGAUUGAUUUUGAGAACUAAAUCGCCCCAAGUUUCAUGGAUAUAAACAGGAGGCUCAACACUUGAAUGGCUAAUGGUUUUUGGGCAUUGAAUUGUCCGUAAUGCCCUUUGACUUAUACAGUGAUGUGGAUCUUUGUAAUCAUCUGGUUCCUUGGAUCCAUCCAACAACUUUCCUGCACAUGACCAUUUUUAAUUUUUCCAAAGUUUAAUAAUAAAUUCACAUCACCUACUUCAUAUACUUCAUAUAUAAGUAAGAGUAUAUUCAUAGUACAUUAACUUUAUUAUAGUUUUGAUUGGUUAUUAUAUAAAUCUAACUCUCUAUUUCUAUUAAUAUUCUUUUACAACAUAUCAAAAUUUACUGACAAAUUUUAUAUAUAUUUUUAUAAAAUCUAAUUUAUAACAUAUUUAAUAAUUAAAAAGUUUUUUUUUAUUGAAGAGUUCAAUUGUCAUUUAAUUUCUUCUUAAAACAUAGAAAAGAACUUUAAGAACACAUUGGUAGCAUAAAAAAAAUCUUAAGUUGUAUAUUGCCGUUCCUUUAUACCUUUAAGACCAAAUCGACAUGGUUGAUGUUUCUUUGCUUAAGAUUCUAUUAGAUGCAUUUCUUAUGUACAUGAUAUAGAUGAUUUUGUAAAAGCCUUAAGUGAGAGAAAGACAAACAUGACCUUUAGAAGUUCAACUUAAAACCAUUGUAACUUUUGAUCCGUAAGAAAUUUGAAGAUGUGUGAUACAUCAACAAAAAGUUCUUGAUGGUCGAAAACUCCUAAUAGGUCGCCUACCUAUCAGUCGAUCCCUAAAUUACACUAUUUAGACCUCAAAAUCAUGAUUUUCCCAAUUUCGGUGCAUUUCCAUAAUUUGCUUGAUUAAGUUUUAAUGACAAAAUCUGUCGUUUUCGGAAUUUAUCAAAUUUUCAUGUUUAGUUUAGAGUUUAAUUUGAUGUUUUCCUUUUUUCAAAUUUGGUUGUACUUGCCAAAUUUAGCCAACGGGCACCAUUCAACCCUUUAGAGGCAUUUUGAAAUUCAAUAAAGAAAUCCCUUUUGAAUACUUUUGUUAACAUUGAUUAGGUACUGUUGUUAUGUACCAUUUAGCAUGUUUAUUUCAUACAUUUGCUUUGUAUUUAAGUCUUAUAUGCUAUGUAUUUUUUUCUUUUUCUAGAUAUUUUAUAUAAUUUGGUGGAAUCACGUUGCUUGCACAUUUCAUGGAUAUUUGUAAGGUAUUUGAAUAUUGAAUGAAUCGUGUUUUUGAUCAUGUUAGGAGUUGUGGUUCAAAUUUUGGUAAGAUCAAACCAAAAACAAAGAAGUUUGAAUUUUGGAAGAUCAACUGCGAUCAAAAGAUUACAUGAUCGAGUGGGCCUUCCUUAUAGCCUCUACUCGAUUAAGCCAUCUGAAAAAAACAGAAUUACGUGUUUUGAAAACCCAAAUAGCUUAGUAGAAUCCCGAUGCAAAAUCGAGUCAAUAGAAUCGGUUGUUACCUUUGUUUUCGGGCCUAUAAAUGCAUCAUUACCUUUUUUAUAUAUAUUAGUAGCUAGUAGGUUUGAAGACAUUAUAAAUUUUUUAUUUUUAUAAAAGAUAAUGUUAACAAAAAAAAUCACAUUAGUAAUAUUUUUUUAAAUAUAAUUCACUUUAAUGAUAAAUUAUAUAUAAAAGAGAUUAAUGCCCAAGUAUUAUAUAAAAACAUAAUUUUGUUACCAUAUGUUAGGGCUAUAUGAAGUUAGUAACUAAACAGGCUAUUGUAUAGAUUUUAAAGAUCAAAGAGUUAAAAAGUUUAUAUGUGAUAANAUAUAUAGAGAGAGAGAGAGAGAGAGAGAGAGAGAGACCAAUAUACACGCAAAGAGAAGCCGUAUUUGUAUCGUACAUCCACUCACUGCUUACGUCAUGCCGCACCGAACAUUAUCCUUUAGCAUUUAAAAAUGAUUUCAAAAGAGAAACCGUAUUUGUUAAUUGGCGUCGAGGGGCAUAUUUGACAAUUCACUUCCAUAAAACCAUUGGCUUUUUCAAGUCUCUGGCCUCCUGUUUUUACCUCUAAAGUUGGGGACUUUUCUCUAUCUAUUUAAACCAGUCUCUCCUUCCCUAAUUCAUAUCUAUCAAACAUAUCUCUAAUACUAUUCAAACAAGAAAACCCCCCUUUCAUUUCAGCAUCUUAAAACACUCGGAAACUUAAAGAAAAGAUGAGUUCCACAAGCAGAGUAUGGAUGGUGGCAGCAACUGUCGGAUUGGUGGAGGCACUCAAGGAUCAAGGCUUUGCACGAUGGAACACCACCAUCAGGGCAGUCCACCACCACGCCAAGUCCAAUCUCCGAUCAAUUUCUCAGACCAAGAAGUUGUCUUCGCCGGCGGCCUUGGCUUCAGGCGGAGGCGUAGAAGAGAGGGCGAAGCAAUCAGAGGAGUCGUUGAGAAAAGUCAUGUAUUUGAGCUGUUGGGGUCCCAAUUGAUGAAAACCCUUUGCAGAUGUUAUUAAUUUUAGGCACCUAGAUACCAG